GAGUGAAAUUCUUCUUAUGUAUGUACAGGCAGUUGGGGUCAUACUGAGGCGGGAUUCAGAAUUGUGCCAACUCCGUGCAUCUAAUCAAACAGAUAGUCCAGGGAAUGGUGGGAUGGUUCAUCAUGUGUUGCAUCGGCUGCUUCCAAUGUCUACUGACAAAUCUGUAGGGCCUGAUGAAUGGAGAACCAAGUUGUCUGAAAGAGCUUCAUGGUUUCUGGUGGUACUGUGUGGCCGAUCUGGGGAAGGGCGGAGG
rnacentral:misc_RNA from 1 species